GAUGAACGCUGACAGAAUGCUUAACACAUGCAAGUCUUUGGCGAAGCUGUGCUUGCAUCGCCUAGCCAAGGCGGACGGGUGAGUAACACGUAAGGAACUUGCCCUGCAGUCAGGGAUAACAGACGGAAACGACUGAUAAGACCUGGUAAAGUCAGGCGGACUCAUGUCCAGCCUGAUGAAAAGAGAUGCUGCAGGAGAGCCUUGCGUCCUAUUAGCUUGUUGGUGGGGUAACGGCCCACCAAGGCGAUGAUAGGUAGCCGGCCUGAGAGGGUGGACGGCCACAAGGGGACUGAGAUACGGCCCUUACUCCUACGGGAGGCAGCAGUGGGGAAUAUUGGACAAGGGGGGCAACCCUGAUCCAGCAAUUCUGUGUGCACGAUGAAGGUUUUCGGAUUGUAAAGUGCUUUCAGCAGGGAAGAAAAAAAUGACGGUACCUGCAGAAGAAGCGACGGCUAAAUACGUG
rnacentral:rRNA from 1 species